rnacentral:rRNA from 1 species
CAGCCGCCACGGUAAUACGAAGGGUGCAAGCGUUAAUCGGAAUUACUGGGCGUAAAGCGUGCGUAGGCGGUUUGUUAAGUCUGUUGUGAAAUCCCCGGGCUCAACCUGGGAAUGGCAAUGGAUACUGGCAAGCUAGAGUGUGUCAGAGGAUGGUGGAAUUCCCGGUGUAGCGGUGAAAUGCGUAGAGAUCGGGAGGAACAUCAGUGGCGAAGGCGGCCAUCUGGGACAACACUGACGCUGAGGCACGAAAGCGUGGGGAGCAAACAGGAUUAGAUACCCGCGUAGUCCCUGUCUCUUAUAC